AGAAGACCAUUGUGUUUAAGUGGUAGUCUUGUUAAUGCAGUUCUUACUCAUAGCAUGUCAUGGUACCUCUUUCUGUAGUGAAUGCUGACCAGUGAGAUGCCAGCCUGCGUGUGAAGAUCCUACAGCAGAAGUGCAUGGCCAGUGACACAAGAACUUGCGAGAGAUGCCAGUCCGCCUGUGAAGAUCCUGCAGCAGGAGUGCAUAGCCAGUGACACAAGACGUGCGAAUGAAAACUAGAUGUGACCAUCCAGAAAAAGCAUAGACAAAAAAAUGCAGUCUUAGUACUGGGAUGUUUGAGAUGGGGUCUAUCUACAUGUCUCUAGCUGUCCCUAUCAGGACAGCAUCUGGUGUGGCCUGCAGAGUUGAUUCCUGUACUUUUUUUUUUUUGUGGGCUGUAUGUAAAUGGAUUGUUUUGACAAUCCAUUCGACAGUGUUCUCUUCUGUGAAGGUCAUAGGUGAGCUGAUUGACAGACACAGCUGUACAGACUGAAUGCAAUCCUGACU
rnacentral:lncRNA from 1 species